rnacentral:rRNA from 1 species
AUGAACGCUGGCGGCGUGCCUAAUACAUGCAAGUCGAGCGAACAGAUGAGGAGCUUGCUCCUCUGACGUUAGCGGCGGACGGGUGAGUAACACGUGGAUAACCUACCUAUAAGACUGGGAUAACUUCGGGAAACCGGAGCUAAUACCGGAUAAUAUAUUGAACCGCAUGGUUCAAUAGUAAAAGACGGUUUUGCUGUCACUUAUACAUGGAUCCGCGCCGCAUUAGCUAGUUGGUAAGGUAACGGCUUACCAAGGCAACGAUGCGUAGCCGACCUGAGAGGGUGAUCGGCCACACUGGAACUGAGACACGGUCCAGACUCCUACGGGAGGCAGCAGUAGGGAAUCUUCCGCAAUGGGCGAAAGCCUGACGGAGCAACGCCGCGUGAGUGAUGAAGGUCUUCGGAUCGUAAAACUCUGUUAUUAGGGAAGAACAAAUGUGUAAGUAACUAUGCACGUCUUGACGGUACCUAAUCAGAAAGCCACGGCUAACUACGUG